AUUGAACGCUGGCGGCAUGCUUUACACAUGCAAGUCGGACGGCAGCACAGAGAAGCUUGCUUCUUGGGUGGCGAGUGGCGAACGGGUGAGUAACAUAUCGGAACGUACCGAGCAGUGGGGGAUAACUAAUCGAAAGAUUAGCUAAUACCGCAUAUUUUCUGAGGAAGAAAGCAGGGGACCAUUUGGCCUUGCGCUGUUUGAGCGGCCGAUAUCUGAUUAGCUAGUUGGUGGGGUAAAGGCCUACCAAGGCGACGAUCAGUAGCGGGUCUGAGAGGAUGAUCCGCCACACUGGGACUGAGACACGGCCCAGACUCCUACGGGAGGCAGCAGUGGGGAAUUUUGGACAAUGGGCGCAAGCCUGAUCCAGCCAUGCCGCGUGUCUGAAGAAGGCCUUCGGGUUGUAAAGGACUUUUGUCAGGGAAGAAAAG
rnacentral:rRNA from 1 species